GCGCCGUUGGUCUAGUGGUAUGAUAUCACCCUCCCAAGGUGGCGACUCGGGUUCGAUUCCCGGACGGCGCA
rnacentral:tRNA from 1 species